UGCUGCCUCUGUUGUUUAUUAUUGUAAACAUAGGUUUCAACAUUGCACUGCUUCAUCUCCUCAAAAUCUCUUCAGCUGUUGUAUCUUGUCUUGCUUCCACAUUUUCAGGUAUGCAAGCUGUUUGAUGAAAUUAUUGUAUGGACCUGGACCAAUACACAUCCACAGUCUUGAAUGAUUACUAUGUAACACACAGUCAAAAUUUUCAAUUUCCUAGAAAGUAUUAGAAGAACAUAGCUAUAUAUGAGAGAUUGGCUGAAAAAUCAUAAAUGUGUUUGUGAUUUCUUCCAUUUUUCAAUUUACAAAUACAUGCUAAUGUGAAAAUUAUGAGCAUACCCAAUUGAUAGAAUGUGGCUCUGUGUUGUGGCAGUUCCAAUAUCAAUCUAUGUGUUCACCAUGCCAUUGCCAUACCUUGGUGUUGCCUCGUCUCUUCCAGCAGGUUUUAUGACAGGGGCCAUCAUUCUCAUUUUUGGCUUACUCAUUUAUGCAUGGACCCCUUCAAAUGGUUCCUUCUCAGCUCCCACCUAGAAUGAGUUAACAUGUCAUUGAACACAGUAAAACAGCAGAAGGAACUAACUCAUGUUCAAUUCUCAGUGGUGGCUAAAACAAGGAAAAAGAAUGUCUUGUUCUUGUAAUUGCUGGAAAGUGUUUUUUUAUGAGCUAAGCUCAAUUUAGAAAGAAAUAUUCUAGAUUGUAGAUUGUUUGAGAUCUAUCUUCGUUAAAGAUAACCUUAAAUUAUUAUAUAAGCGGGAUAAAUUUUAUCAAAAAGUUAAGAUUUAUCCCUGUUUAUGUAUUAUAAUUUAAUUUUAUUUUUAACUGAUACGAAAUCUCUAACAUAAAUUUAAGUAAGCUAAAAAAAAAAGUAAAUAGAGAAUAAAAGUCAUUUUGUUCAUGCUGGACAAUUUGGAUGUGCUAAGAGAAAUCCAAUAUGUUCUUGAUCACUAAGAACAUAUGUGAUUAUGUAUAUACCAUUUUCCUAAAACUUCUCAGUAGAGCCUACCUUUUGAAGAAUAACUACUGGAACUUAAUUUCAGAGUAAAUUCACCAUGCAUAUGACCUAAAUUAGUUUGUUUUUCUUUUAAUUUUUUGUUAUUUGUGAGUUGGAAAUCUUUUUCUUUAUUACUUCAUCCAUAUAAUAAUCAAACGAUUAUUAUUAUUUUAUCAAGUUAAUAGUAAUAACAAUUUAAGUACGAGGUAAUAAUUUUUUAUUGAGAAGAAUGAGAAAGUUAAAAAUACAUAUAAAAUGGUAAAAGAUCUUCGAUGUAUUAAAAUCUUAAUUCAUUCUCAAUUAAGUCAUAAUUUUUUAAAAAUGUGUAAUAAAUAAUUUUUUUAAGUGAACAAAAACGACAUUAAAAUAUGCUGAUGGAAGUGAUUAACUGAAUUUAUUACGUGAAAUUAAUUUGGUAGUAAUUAAAUAUUAUGUUAAUGAUGGGGCAAAAUUAUUCAACAUUGAGAAACUAAACAAAUAUGCAAUUAAAUUUUUAUAAUUAUUAAAAUUAUACACUCAGCAUGAAGUAAAACUGGAUUUAGCUAAAUUACAUUCAGUAUUUAAUAAAUAUAAUAAACAGUAUUACACGCAUGUUAAAUACACAUGGGUGGUAUUAAUUACACCACAUUAAUGAACAAUAAAUAAAACUUAUUUAAUAAUUUAAUACUUAGGUGGUGUGUGAUUUUGAAAAUAAUUAAAUUUUAUUUAAUAAAUAACUUGUGAAUAUAUAAGUUUAUUUGAGAAGUGAUAUAUUUUUGAUAAAUUAGAUGGUGUUCAUAGGAAGGUGAAGUGUGACAUGUGAAGUGAGUCUUGCAAAGGAAAUAUCAAUAGCUAUAAUGUCAAUUUUGAGAGGAAUUUGUGUGCUGAGAGUGGGUGUAGCAACUCCAAAACCUUACCUUCUUCCCUCAAUCUUCUCGUCAUCCUUCAAUAUUCAUACCCUCUCACAUACCACUUUUUCCAGAACCUUUCGUUUCCAUCCACCUUCAAUUUCUCUUUCAUCCUUUGUGCCCCUCGUACCUCCCAAAGCAGCAGGUACUCAUUUUCUGAAUACCCCAUUAUGUUUUUCCCCUUAAUUUUGUUUCUGAUAGCAUUUGGUUACGUGUCAAUAUUUUCUUGUUGUGUGGUAAAAAAGUUUUCGUGAAAAAAAUCUAUUUUUUCAUGGAAAAAUAUAAUUUUUCAUGAUAAAAUCUGUUUUUUCAUGAAAAAAAUCUGAUUUUUCAGCCUCUUAUGGCACUGGGAGUGGUGGUGCUGAAGGUGGUAGGCCAAGGGAACUAUUGGUGCAGCAUUUGUUGGUCAAAGAAGAUGACCAGAAGCUUCUGUUGGAUCUUCUGCAAAAAAUCUCUUCAGGUUAGUGACACUGAGGGAUUCGGUUAUUUUCUGCUACCAAUGUUAGGUUUUGGAAGGUGUUUGUUUCCAGUUUAACCGUCUACGGCUUGUUGUUUUAUGUGUUGUUUGUGUGUUCAGGCGAAGAUUUGAGUGAUCUUGCUGUGGAACAUUCACUUUGCCCAUCCAAAGAAGAAGGAGGAAUGCUUGGAUGGGUCAAAAAGGGUCAAAUGGUAUACUUUUGAGAUUAGAUUAAAACCUUAUUUUUGUGGUUUCCCCGAAUUUGCAACCUUUUUGUGCUCUGUCGGGAAGCGGUUUCUGUUGAUUUCUUCGCUUCCUUGUGUACUUUUAAAGGAUAGGAUACAGAUAUAAUUACUAUAAACUUGCUCUGGGUAGGUGAUAAAGGGGGUGAAUUAAGUAUUUGGCUAUAUGGUUCUGGAAAGGAAGCAGAUGGGGUAGUGAUCUGGUUAUGUUUUUUUCCACUGAUUUUACUUAAACUGUACAAUUGUGUGAUUUCAAUUUGGUGUCUGAUGGAGAAAAUUUGAUAGGUUCCUGAAUUUGAGGAGGCUGCGUUCAGUGCACCUUUAAACAAAGUUGUAAAGUGCAAAACCAAAUUCGGAUGGCACCUGCUGCAGGUUUUAUCUGAAAGGUAUUUACAGGUUUAUGCUUCUAAAUUGGAUGAUUAGAUGUUUUUAAUUUCUAUGAAUUUUCUUAAGGAUUUUGAUAGAGCUCACUAGCGAUGUCUGAUGCAAUUAGUCAGCACCACUCACUGGAGUAAUGCUUGGAGGGUGUUGUUAUUAGUUGCAACGAAUGUUUUCAUGUAUUGUAAUUUUUGUCUAACUGACAGGGAAGAAUCAAUUCUUCAAGACAUUCAACCUCAUGAGCUGCAUGGGAAAAUUCAAGAUCCCAAUUUUUUGGAGGAGGCACAGCUAAUUGACGUUCGAGAGCCUGAAGAAGUGUAUGCUUUGAUUUUGUUCAUUUUCAAUUAAUUUUGAAAUCAUUGAAAUUAAAAUUGAGGCCAAGUGGGUGUUUAUAAAUUAACAUGGGAAUUAGCUUGAAAAGGGAGAAACUAUACUGAUAUAUAACUCCAAUUGAAAGUUUUGAUAGCAUUUCAACAUUGGUACUCUUUUUGACAUCUCAGAUGAUGAAACAAGGAGGUCUGCACUUUUUUUACUUCAUGGAUAUUAUUUACUGGCCCUUACACUUGUGUGCAUUUAUUUUUUCUUUGUUCUGUAGUUUUUGGAAUCAUCCACCUUUCUUGCUUGUGGUUUACUCUAGUUGCUGGUUUAGUUUAUGUAUAUUUAAAUGACAUUCUCAUCAUGCACAGGGCUAAAGCAUCUUUGCCAGGAUUUACUGUUCUUCCCCUCCGACAAUUUGGAAGCUGGGGGCCUGAAAUAACUAAAAAACUUGACCCUGAAAAGGAUAUAUACGUUAUGGUAAGUGCAGAUUUUCUUCCAAAAGAUUAGAUGGUAUCCAUAAAACUAGACCUUUAAUCCUAAUUAUCACUUCUUUUUUACAUGGCUUGAUUGUUGUUCUUUUCUGAAAGAUCUGUUCAUGUUGUGUCGCCUCCUGUUCCUCCUUAAUUUGUUUGGUGGUUGUGAGUUGAUACAAAAAUUGAAACUGGAAUUCUUUGAAUAGGUUCCUGCUUUUGUUGCAGUCUAAGUUUGAUUUUUAGAGACCUUUCAUUGGAGAUAUUUAAGAAAACACUAAGUUUCAAUUCAUUCAUCUUUCUUUCAGACUUUUUUAGUUUACUUUUAAGUAUUGUAGUUUGAUUGACUGCUUGUUCAGGUAACUUGUUGCUAUAAUUAGAGUUGUCAAAUCAGGUAACCCGAUCCGACCCACUACGAGUUGGUUACUUAGUGAGUCAACCCAACCCAGUUCAUUUAUUAGCGAGUUAGAAUAAUUCGAACCGGCCCGACCCACCAGGGGAUGGUGAAUAAAUGGGUUGGCUCACUAGCUCACUUAAUUACAAUUGUUUUUUAAAUGAAAAAAAUUACAAACUUUCUAUAAUUCAAAUCUAAACAAAUUUUAAUCCCAAAUUUCACUGCCAACAUGGGUAUUUAAUUAAUUUUGAAAAUAGAAAACUUAAAUAAUUUUUUCAAGCAAAAAAAAUAAUAAAUAUCUUUUCAUAAAAUUAAAAUUAAAUUUUAAUAAAAUAAAAUUAGGUGGUGGGCCAACCUGACCCAUCACGGGUUCAACCCACAUGAGCAGGAUUUAAAUGAACUUGAUUGAAAUCUGACCCGCAUAAAAAAAUAUAAUUUUUUCAAACCCGAUCCGGUCCGAAUCUGUGGUGAACCGGGUUGGCCCGUGGGUUGUGACCCAUUUUGACAGCUCUAGUUACAAUGCACAAGUGGAUUAACUUUGGAUCUGAUUUACCAUUUUUUUUUGUAUUGAUUAUGUUCGAUAACUUGUGUUCUUCUGAAUGCAGUGUCAUCAUGGCAUGCGAUCAUUACAGGUUGCCAGAUGGUUGCUGUCACAGGUAAAAUAUUUUUAUUUCUCAUGCUUGUAUGUUUGAUUUUGCUUCAUCAUCUGAUUAUUUGUUGAUAUCACAGUGUAACUUCCAAUCCAUGCUAAAAAUUAGUUCUACAGUGUAUGAGUUAUAAACAUGCAACCUGUGCCUGCUAGAUAGAGAUUCCUUAGACUGUUUCCAACUGAUGCAAUAAAAAUUUUCAACUUGAUCAAAGGUGAAGGAAAUGAGAUGCUAUUUUGUGUACCUUUUACUCACCUAUAUUCGAAUCUGAAUGUAGAUUUAACACUUUUUGGAGUUAAUUCUCAUCUUCACAAGUUGCAAUGAAGUUAUUGUUUUAUACACUUUUUUCCUGUUACACUCAUUUAGCUAACUGUUCCAUUAGAUAAAACUCACUAAUUACACUUUUUCUCUGAUACAGUUAUGGGAGGAAAUUCACCAAAAGUUACUAUAUUUUGAGUCUGACUCAUGGUUUUGUAAUUUUUAAUAAAUUUAACCAACAAUAAAUAGUGUAUUAAGAAAUAGACUUUAAACCUAACUCAACUUCACAAGAUUAGGUUUGCAAUCACUUAUAUACUAUAAAUUGGUCAUGUGAGACUUUUAACACAGUGUGUUAUGAUUGCAUCAAAUGUUGUGUUAUUACCAUUCUUGUAUAAAUUAAUGGGCAAGGUUUUACCAUUGUAUUAUAAUGAUUUUUAAGAUGUCACUCAUUGUGAUUUCUAAUUUUUUUUUUCAUUUCAUGUAAAAAUAAGAAAUGUAUGAAGGAAUUGUUGAUUGUGAACUUUUCAGGGUUUCAGGAAAGUAUACAAUGUUUCUGGGGGAAUCCAUGCCUAUGCUGUUCAGGUUGAUCCAUCAGUACCCACAUACUGAUCACAUUACCUUUAGGAAUUGGAACUCUCUUUUUAUGGACAUGUUUUUCUUUUCAAUUUUCAAGGUUACAUAUUCUUAGAAUAGUUUAUGUUAUUUGAAUAAUCAUUUCAAUACUCUAUGCCUCUCUGUUCCUGACAGAAAAUGGAUUCAUACAACUUCUUUCUGAUCUCUAAAAAUAGUUUUUCUGAUCUCUAUUUUGAUAUACACUUUUUUUAAAGUAUUUUUUAAAUCAAAGUGAUUAUUUUACUGAUUUUAUUCUUUUAAGUGAUUUUUUUUUUCACUUUAACUGUUUUAUAAUUUGACUUUUUAAAAAAAAAAAUUAACUAUUUUUUAAAAAACCUAAAAUAACUAUUACAAUAAAAAAAUUAUCUAAGAAAAUACAAAUUAUAUACAAUAAAAUUUUAAAAGUUAUUUAAAUUUAUUUUAUAAUAAUAAUUUUUUUAUCAUAAAAAAUGAACAGAUGCAUGUAUUUUUACUAGAUUUUCGCUAGUUGAUAAUAAAACGAUAAUUAAUUGGAAAGGGAUUAACAAACAACAAUUUGGGAUGGUUUUGAAGAGGGAAUUCACAUGAAAACGAGAUUACGAGAUGAGUUUAUGACUGUUUGGAGAAUCUUAUUAAGGUAUAUGAAAUAUUUUUUUUCUAAAUUUUAAAAUUAAUGUGUAUAAGUUAAAAAUAAAACUUUAUAAACUAAUAAUUCUUUAAAUUGUUCUUUUUAAUUUGAGUUAAAAUAAGAAAAACUUAUAUAUAGACGACUCUGUCAAAUAAUUAAAGAAGUUAUGAUACAAUAAUAGUUAGCCUUUUAAACUAUUAAGAAGGAUAUAUAGAGUAUUUACAUUAGUAUAAAUAAAAACUACUUUAAUAAAUAUAAAUGAAAAUAAAUAGAACACAAAUUUAUGUAUUAAGGAGUGGUUGAUUAUGCUUUUUUAAUUAAGUUUUUUUUAUAUCUUUUAUACUAACUAACUUAAAAGGAUAAAAUUGAAACAAUAAAAUAAAAUACGUAUAUAGUUAUGAGUAUAAUUAUUUUAAAAGGCUUUGUUAAUUUUUUUUUCACAAAUUUUUAUUAUAAUUAUUUGUUAUUUUUAAGUUUUUAAUUUAUCUUGUUAAAUAAUAUUUUUCAAAAUGAUCUAGUUUUACACUUUAAUUUUUAAUUAUUAUCUUUAUAAUAAUAUUUGAUAAAAAAAUAAAUUAAUUUUGCAAAUAUGAGAUAAUGACUCGAGUCAAUGAUUUUUAUUAUAAUAAACAUGAAAAAUAAAUUAAAAUAACAAAAUAUUCUCAAAUAAGUUAAGUUGACUCAAAUUAAAUUACAAAUAAUGAAAAAUGAGUUAAAUUGACUCAAUUAAAAACUUCUAACAGUUGAAUUUGGAAAUCAAUCAAAUUAAAAAUUUGUGAUUUAGAAAAUUAUUUUUUGUUUGUUUUUCUUUGCUACAUUGACAAAUAUAUAUCGAUUAAUAUAUAUUUGUAAUUUUGUGGCAAUUUUUUUUUAAAAAUAACAUACUUAAUAAAUUAAUUUGUUAUUAUUAAAUUACACAUAAAAAAGCAGACGAAAGAUACACUAUAGUAAAUAGACAUAGCAAAUUACAUUAAAAACUUUAUAUAAUUUAGUCAAAAUGACAAUAUAAUUCUUAAAUAAUUGUAAAUUACGCAAAACAUAUAACAUAAUCACAUUUUAAAAAAGUUAACGCACUUCUAAAAAACAUAAUGAAUAAUCAUCUCAAAAUAUUAAUAUAUAAUGUUAUUAUUGUUAUUAUAAACAUAAAUAAUACACAAUAACUCAUUAAAAAAUUGAAAUAUAUAAACUAGUUAAUUUUUUUUAAAUCAAUUAUGAUAUAACUCUUCUGUUUAAAUACGUUAAAAAUAAUAAUCAAAAUUCUUUAAUCAAACUUUUAUUUUUUUUAAUACAAUACAAAAUUUUAAAUAUUAUUUUUUUAACUUUUAAUCACACAAAUUAUAAUUUCAAUUAUUUAUUUAUCCAAACAUCAUAUAAACCAAUUCUUAAAUCCAUAGUCAUACACCAAUUUAACUAUUGUUAUACAUUUUAACAUGCAAAAAACCUACAUGUAAAAACAUUUUAACAUACAUUACCGUAUAAUAAUCGUUAAUUUCUAUAUCACACCUAUGUACUAUAUAUAAUUAUAAUAAUAAGGAUAACUAUAUUUGACAAUAUUUUAACAUCAUCUACGUAUCAUUAUGUUAUUGGUCCACGGUGAUGUUUAUGAUUAUUAUUUAUUGUGAAGUAAUUUUGAACCAAUCAGAGAAUGACAUAGAUAGAUGAUGUUAAAAUAUUCUCAAAGAAAUAUUAUCAAAAUAUCAUUAUCCUAAUAAUAAUGAUAUUGUUUUCUUCAAAAAAAGAAAAAAGUCCAUACGUGCAGAGGGAUGUCAUGGUGGUUUGAUACAAUGAGUGUGACAAGAUUUAUCUGUAAAAAGCGUUGAAGAAUGUAAAAAUGGAAGCAAAAACAGAAAGAGUGAUGUGAUGAGAGUUGUAAUGUUGGAGACUUGUUGAGACUUGGAAAAGGGAAAAGGGAAAAGAAUGUUUAUAAAGACAGAUGUAAAACAGAAGAAAAUCCAUAUUUAUUAUUACCUGUUCCGAGAAAUGCUGGCCACCAUUGUCUGAAUAAAAAGGUGAGGCAUUUCCAAGCCAAAGAGUCUUAAUUUGCUCCCUCUAAUUCUCUUCACCAACACCCCUUUCAAAUUUCCCCAUACCUUUUUUUUAGACAAUUUUUUUUACCUCUUUUCCAACAACAGACACUUCCCCUCCCUCAUGCUAACACCUUCUCUCCAGAAAACAAAUACAACAUAAUUUUUCAGCCCUCAAAUCAGACCACCUUCACCUAUAUCUAUCAACUCACAUCCUUUCUUUUCCCUCCACCCCUUUUGUUCCUGUUCUCCCUUCCAUUCCACCAU
rnacentral:lncRNA from 1 species